GGGGGCGACCAGGUUUCGACGUGGGUCGCGAAGCAGCACAGGGCAUGCCGAGGACCAGUGACCUCGUAAAUCCAUCUGGAAACACCAUAAACGCCAACGACGAGCGUUUCGCUCUCGCCGCCUAAUACCGGCGAGACGCUGCACUAGCCUGC
rnacentral:tmRNA from 1 species